rnacentral:lncRNA from 1 species
UUUUUUUGGAUUUUAUUUAUUUACUCAUGAGAGACACACAGAGAGAAAGAGGCAGAGACACAGGCAGAGAGAGAAGCAGGCUCCAUGCAGGGAGCCCGACAUGGGGCUUGAUCUGGGGACUCAUCCGGGUACUCCAGGAUCACACCCUGGGCCAAAGGCGGCGCUAAACCACUGAGCCACCCGGGCUGCCCCUCUUAAUUGUUUCUAAAGCUCCAGGAUAUACCCUGGAGUUACUGUCUCCUCAGUGUUUUGAUUUAUCACCUUCUAUGUGUAAGGCUUAGAGCUGGGUGUUUUACAAAUCACAGAUUUAUACAAGAUAUGAUCCCUUCCCUUUAGAAGUUUACAAUCUUGCAGGAGAGACGAAUUAAAUAAAUGCGGUGUGAAUGGUACUCAUCAACUACUAAGGGACAGUGGAAGAGGGCACUUCAGGGUGAUUAUUCAAAUCACAGACCAGGGAGUGUUUUGGUAAAAGAAAAUGAGCAGGGAUCACAGGACACCUGUGAGAAAGAUGACAAAACCCGGGUGGCAGCAUAAGAAAUGUGCAGUUAACAUUUUUGAGGGUGAGGCAAAUGGAAUAUGAUGCUGGGAUAAGUAGGAGACAGAUAAAAAUAGGACUUGGCCUUUAUCUUGUUAGGCAAAGGCCUUUGUUCAGUUAUAAUACUUUCUUCAGAAAGGCUUAUUGUCCUACGGUGUGUAGAAUGGGUUGAAUAAUAAAAAUGAAAAGACAAAAAGAGCAGUUAGAAAGAGACUGUCUAACAAGCAUGAAAUACUAACAUGUGAAUUUGGAAGAGAGCAGUAGAAAGAGAAGGAAUAAACCAAAACACAUAGCUCCUCCUGUUCUCAUGAAAAUGAUUAUUGAAAUAGUCAUAUCUAUUAUGUGUUGAUAUAUAAAGGCACAAAAUAAAACCAAACACUUGUAAACAGACUUGCAGGGAAAACUUUGCUUAAAUCAUCACAUAAAAGUUACCUAUUCUGCUUUGGAAAAAACAUUUAUAACAACUCCUUUCAAUGUGAAUACAGGUAGCAUAUACCAUUUCUUAAUAUAAGUCUUUGAUUAUAUUUUUGUACUAUUUUAAAAACAUUUAUUGUAGGUGGCCUAAAAAUAAAACUUCAAAAACUACAAUUAGAAAAUGUCUAUAUAAAAUGAAAUCUAUACUUUAUUACAACAUUGUUUAUAUGAACAAUUUAUACUUUAUUACAUACAAACUACUUUUUAAAAACUAUCAAGGUCUGUUUGAUUCAUACUAAUUUUAAGAUACCAAAAUACCAUGUGUGUCUCUCUAGUUCCUAAGAAUGAAAGAAGUAUCUUAUAAAUACACUUCUCUGAACCAACAUUAUUUUUAUGACCCAAAUGGAAAAAUGUAUAUACAAAUAUCCAAAAGAUAAAUUACCUGACCAUAAUAAUAAACCCUAUUUUUUUGAAACCUCAUAUUUACAUGUUACCUUUCAUAGGCAUAUACACAUCAAUUUGAUAAACUACUUUCAACUAAUUCAAAAUAUCAAAAUGUAUUAUUAUAAUAUAUACAACUGAAGAUCUUUGUUUUCUCUUGAUUUAAAUGUUCUCCGCCCCCAGAAAAUUCUCAAAGGCAAAUUUCUGGGAGGGGAAAAAAAGUGUAGCUUCUCUAUACAUUCAAGAAAUAUUUAAUCAAUACUUAGGAGUUCCUUCUAGAUGCCUAUCACUGAACAACAAUUUUUAAAGGUAUAAUUGAUUUACAAAAUGCUGUUACAACUUGAUGAGUUUGGAAAUAAGUAUACACUCAUGAAACUACUGCCAUCGUCAAUGCCAUACACAUAUCCAACACCUUCAAAAGUUUUUUCCCCACUCUCUUUAUUUUUUGUGUGAUUAGAACACUUAACAUAAGACCUACCUCUUGGAGUGGCUCAGUGGUUAAGUGUCUGGUUGAGGCUCAGGUCAUGAUCCUGGGAUCAAGCCCCACAUCAGGCUCCCUGCUCCUCUCCUUCUGCCCUUCCCCCAACCAUUCUCUCUCUCUCUCUCUCUCUCUCUCUCUCUCUCUCUCUCCUCUCCCCCCCAAAAUAAAUAAAAUCUUAAAAAAAAAGACCUACCUCUUAGCAAAUUUUUAAAUAUAAAAUACAGUCUUGCUAACCAUAGGUACUGUGCUGUACAGUAAAUCUCCAGGAUUUACUCCUCUUACAUCAUUUAAAGUUUAUACCUUUUGACCAAAACCUCAGUUUCCUCCUUACAGAAUUCCUGGUAACCACCAUUCUAUUCUCUGCUUCUAUGAAGUCUUUCUGGAUAUAAGUGCAAACGUGUAAUAUUUGUGCUCCUGCCUAGUUUACUUUACUUACAAUGAUGUCCUCUAGGUUCAUCCAUGUUGUCACAAAUGACAGGGUUUCCUUAUUUUUUAAGGUAUGGAAAUAAAUACUGCAUUCUCUUUAUUCAUUCAUAUGUGGAUGGACAUGUGGGUUGCUUUCAUGUCUUGGCUACUGCGAAUAGUGCUGCAAUGAAUAUAGGAGUGAAGGUAUCUCCUCAAGAUCCUGAUUUUAAUUUAUUUGGAUAUAUAUCCAGAAGUAGGAUUACUCGAUCAGAUGACAGUUCUUAAUUUUUUGAGGAACACUCUACACUGUUCCACAGUAGUUGUACCAAUGGAUGCCCAGGAUUAUUCUUGGUUCUUUCAGAUGUACUAGUGAUGAGCACAACAUAAAAAGACUCCUGCCCUCAGGGAGCUUUCAUUUUAGAAGAGGAAAAUAAUCAAUGAGCAAUCAUUUUAUAAGAUUAAUUUCAUGGCAGUCUUAAAGGUGAUAAAUGCUGUAGAAAAAGAAAGGAGAAGAGGCUUCCACUUUGAGUGGCCACCAGACUAGGCCUCAUUAAUAAGAUGCAGAUGGCCCUGUCAGCAAAUACAAGAACUUUAAUUUUACUACAACCAAGACAAGGGCUUUUCAGCAGAAGGAUGAUUUUCAUUUUUAAAAAGUAGCCAUAAUAUGCACUAUUAGAACGGGGUGUCAAAAAAGUAAAGUUGAGUUCUUUUAAAAAAGAAGAGGUAAGUAUUAUUAAAGAAGUUAGUGGACAGGACUAUGAAACAACUACCUCCAAUCCAGAACCCAAAAUAACAGCUAACAUAUAUAAUUAUGUCAAGUAUUGCUAAAGGUGCCCUGUCCCUCAUGACAACUCCAUGUGUGACCACAUUCGAAGGUCAAUAGUACUUUAUCCAUAUUCUGAACUCUAAAAAAGCUUAAAGCAAGCCAAUUUAGU